rnacentral:tRNA from 2 species
GGGCAUAUAGCUUAGUUGGUAGAGCAGCCGACUCUUAAUCGGCAGGUCCUUGGUUCGAACCCAAGUAUGCCCACCA